GAUCCUUGCCAUAUUUGAGUGGAUGUCCGACUGCCAGUCUAUGUUAUUAAAGACGCGAUUGUUUCUUUCAAGCCAAAGUUCCCACAGUAUAAUACCGCGUAAAAUGGAUCAAAUAAUGUAGAAUUUACCGUAACACCUGGGUAUGUUUUUUGCAAAAAUGCACUAUUUCCAGUAGAAACUAGGUGGGUCCAGUGGAGUGUCGGGCUUGUGUUGGAGACCGUGGAGGAUUCUAGGUUGGCCAGCCAUCCUCUGGCCUCCUUUCCUAUGUAUUGCAGAAGCUGUGUCUAAUUCGGCUACUAGUACCGGUCCGGGUUGAACCUGAGCCUAUUGACGGGUCUGUAGAAUAGUUGGGUGGUGAUUUUCUUGAUGCCACGGACUUGUGUUGUUACUCUAACUUUCUCUACUGUGCAAACGAUGCAAUCGCUACAUUUGGCAUUUGAGGACGCCACUCGCCUGGUUAAUGGGUAGUUCGAUACCCGCCUAGAGAGAUCUGAGAUGGGAUAGAGAGCUUGAUCUAGAGGGCUAAUACUAAAUGCCUAGUUUUGCAGUUUUGUAUAAGAGAUGCUAAUGAAUUGGCCGAUUGGCGGCCAAAAGCGUAGAUUCGCUUGAUUUACUAAGAUCGGGUUGCUUGUUUUCCCAACCUCAUAUACACCCAAUCAUUUGUUGGGUUGCACGAUGAGUUGGGCACUUUGUAGAAUCUCACCAAAGUGUGUAUGGAUUGCGGUUGUAAUUAUCAGCCAACCUUGAACAUUCUCAAGUGCUGGGAACCGGGUCUGGGCCUCAUCCCAUAUAAGAAUGCCAUGGUGAUGUUGUAACCAAUAAUCGCGCUCUGUGCGGACCCCCCUAGCGUACAGUUUUGCUGCUCGGGUUUGUGUGAAUGCGGGGUGGCUCAAAGUCUCGAAUUUGGGACUAAACCAUAGUCUUGUAUUACAUACCUCGUCCAAUGUAUGUAGAGUUUUUGUUUGAUUUCUUGGACAAUAACUUGCCAUGCCUUUUUGAUUUGAUUCCAAAUUGAGGAGCCCGAUGAUCUGCGGUGUCCAUUGACCAUAUAGUUGUUGGGGUCUGGGUCCCAAUUUUCCUCGCGGCUAGGUUGACAGGCGGCUAGUCGGAUUUGAAGAGGUUGGAUUAGCUUGGUUCGUUGGCUUGCAUUAUCCACUUGCUCAAUAGAAUUUGCAUUGCUGCUUCGGGGUCAAUGAGACUAAGACCACCGACUUUCAGUUUCUUUGAACAAGUCGCCUAGGCGACACAAGCUCUAGUGCGCUAUUCCCUUCUAGCCCAAAAAUAGUUUCGUAGCAGUGCCUUGGCUUGUGUCACUACUCUCCUGGAUCCGGCCCAGACGCCGAGGAAGUACCACAUUGAUGAUUGGAGGACCUGAUUAACUAUAAUCCGCCUCCCGGCUAGUGAAAGUGGAGGGAUCGUUGUUUGCCGUCUAAUAUGCACUAGAUUUCUCCCAGUUGAUGACAAGUCCGGAUGUUGUGGCAAAUGUCUCUAGUUCUGAAACUAGUUGCUGAACCAAAGCUUUCUCAGCGCUGAUUGUGAUGGAUGUAUCAUCGGCAUACUGGAGGAUGAAUUGUUGUUCUUCAGUGCCAGGAAGUUUGACGCCUUUUAUGUUGCCGGCUACUUGGUGGUGACAAAUAGAGGCAUUGAGGGCCUUGCCAACGAGGAGAAACAUGUACAGUGGGACAAGACAACCCUAUCGUAUCCCCCAUCGUAUUGGGAAGCUGGUGGUUUUUUGACCAUUGAGGUUGAUUGCCGCUUCCGCUCCCUGGAAUCUAAGCUUUUAUGUUGACGAAGGGGGUGGAGAAGCCCAUCUUACAUAUGACGUUGAACAAAAAGCACCAAUCAACCAGGUAGUAGGCCUUAGAGAAAUCUAGCUUUACAAAAAUGGAUUUUUGUUUGGAUAUCUUGGCCCAGGCCAACAUUUCGUGGAUGAGCAGGAUGUUAUCAUGAAUGGAUUGGUUUUUGAGAAAUGCGCUUUGUUUAGUGUUGAUGAAAGAUGCUAGUGGCUUUUGUAGCUGCUUCUACAAAACCUUGGCAUAAAUCUUAUAAGCUAUGUUUUGAAGCAUUAUUGGCCUCCAUUUGCUAAGACGUUGUUGGUUGCUUUCUUUAGAAAAUAAUGUGAAUAUCUUUGUGGUUAUUCUUUUGGAAAA